rnacentral:rRNA from 1 species
AGAUUGAACGCUGGCGGCAGGCCUAACACAUGCAAGUCGAGCGGUAGAGAGGUGCUUGCACCUCUUGAGAGCGGCGGACGGGUGAGUAAUGCCUAGGAAUCUGCCUAGUGGUGGGGGAUAACGUUCGGAAACGGACGCUAAUACCGCAUACGUCCUACGGGAGAAAGCAGGGGACCUUCGGGCCUUGCGCUAUCAGAUGAGCCUAGGUCGGAUUAGCUAGUUGGUGAGGUAAUGGCUCACCAAGGCGACGAUCCGUAACUGGUCUGAGAGGAUGAUCAGUCACACUGGAACUGAGACACGGUCCAGACUCCUACGGGAGCAGCAGGUAGGGGAAUAGUGGACAAGUGGGACGAAAGCCUGGACUCCAGCCAUCGCCGCGUGUAGUGGAAAGUAAGGUCUUACGG